GUGAGGAAUAUUGCGCAAUGGGGGCAACCCUGACGCAGCGACACCGCGUGGGUGAGGAAGGUCUUCGGAUCGUAAAGCCCUGUCAGAAGGGAAGAAGUGCGGCGCGGUCAACACCCGCGCCGUUUGACGGUACCUUCAAAGGAAGCACCGGCUAACUCCGUGCCAGCAGCCGCGGUAAUACGGAGGGUGCGAGCGUUGUUCGGAAUCACUGGGCGUAAAGGGCGCGCAGGCGGCCUGUCAAGUCAGGUGUGAAAGCCCACGGCUCAACCGUGGACGUGCAUUUGAAACUGGCAGGCUUGAGUGUCGGAGGGGAAAGUGGAAUUCCCGGCGUAGAGGUGAAAUUCGUAGAUAUCGGGAGGAAUACCGGUGGCGAAGGCGACUUUCUGGCCGAACACUGACGCUGAGGCGCGAAAGCGCGGGGAGCAAACAGGAUUAGAAACCCGAGUAGUCC
rnacentral:rRNA from 1 species